rnacentral:lncRNA from 12 species
AUGUCGCCCCAGGAGCCAGAGGACACCUGCUUUCUUCUCCAGCUCAGCCCUGGGCUCUGGGUUGGCCCUGCCCGGGCACAGCAGCUGCAGGGGCUGCCCGGUCCCCUGAGCAUCGCAGGCCAGGGGGUGCCUGUCCCUACUCUGGGUCCCCGCAGCCCCUGCUUGAUCUCCUCCAUCCCACUCCCCAGGGGGCUAUGGGCUCUCCUGGCCUCACCCCUGCUGGGGGUUCCAUCCUGCAGCCAGGCAGCCAGGGUCAGGGCUCCCAGCCUGGCCUCCGCCAGAAGCUCCUGUGUUCAUUCCGCUGCCCCCGGGGCUGGAAACCAGACGCACCGCGUGUGCUCCAUAUCACAGGGCUGCUUCCUCUCCAUCCCACUCCCCAGGGGGCUAUGGGCUCUCCUGGCCUCACCCCUGCUGGGGGUUCCAUCCUGCAGCCAGGCAGCCAGGGUCAGGGCUCCCAGCCUGGCCUCCGCCAGAAGCUCCUGUGUUCAUUCCGCUGCCCCCGGGGCUGGAAACCAGACGCACCGCGUGUGCUCCAUAUCACAGGGCUGCUUCCUCUGCUCCUCCCCAGAGACACCAGACAGCCCCGCAGCUCCUGCCUCCCUGCCCUCCCGGGGGUCCUCCCUCCCUGGGAGCCCGGGCCACUCACUGAGGAGGAGGCUGGUGAGUCCCAGGAGCCAGGAGGCCCCGCCCAGGUGGGGGUCCCCUGAGCAGGAGCCCAUGGCAGUCUGCCUCCCGCUGACUCCACCAGGGUCUAUGAGGUUGCAGAGGAAUCAUCAGCACUCAAAUGCAAGAGUAGUUGAAAAGCUGGUCUCAGAAGAGUCCUUCAGCUGCUCUGUACCCCUAGGGCGGGGCUAACUGUUAGCCCUGGGACCUCACUGUCCAGUAGAUUAGCCCAUUCAGGUCUCUCCUGUUAUCUCAGCUCCUGCAGUGGGCUCAGGAGAUCAUUGCAGAGCAAAUGUAGGAACAGCCCCGUCUAGGAGCCCCAGUGCAGGGGAGGCCCCAACUCUGUGCUCACAAGCAGCCUGGUGGUCUCACCUCCCCAGUCUGCACCCCUAGGGCCCCUGACCUGUGUCUUCGUGUUCCCACUCAGGCUCUGGACCUGCUGUCCCUCCUGCUGGCACCC